GCUGCUGCUGCUGCUGCUGGCGGCAAAAGGGGCUGAAUUGUGAUUAAGAGGGAGAAGAAGAAGAAGGAGAAGAAGAAGAAGUAGGAAGAGAAGCUCCUUUUCUUUGUUCUCCCCCUGGGGGAUGUUUACCAGGAGAGACGCGGCGGAUCAGAUAUGAAAGGCAUUCAGAGAGAGAGAGAAGCCCCCUGAAACGCACGCCACCUAUCUUCACGGGAGGGGAUAAUUGAGGAGCCAAACGGGGAUAAAAAAAAAAGGUGGAAGAUCACUGGGAUGUUCGGAACAAGAGACUCCAUCCCGUCUGACUCCUCAAAUGCAGUCCCCCCCCCCCCCCCCAUCGAGCGCGUGCUCGUGCACGUCCCCCCCCCCUUUCCAUAAGCCCCACCCUCGCCUUGCCCUGAUUGGUUAUGUAAAUAAAGCGUUAUAAGGCGUCCUGUCCUCCUUCAGUUCGCCACUGUUUGGCUAAUUAAAUCAUCAAUCAGGGGGCUGAACUGGUCCCCCCCCCUCACACCAACCGGCAACCCCCCCGCCCCUUCUUUCCCAUUUCCCAUUGGACCCCCCCAUCACAAAAACUGCUUAGUUUAGUUGGGAUUAACUCUUAUAAAUCGUCAUUUUUGUGUGCAAAAAGUCACCUUUUUUUUCACGAAGAGGAGGAUGAGGAGGAUGAGGAGGCCCGGGACGAAGCAGAGGAGCGUUGUCAUGCGCCCGCACCUCGCCUCGCCGCGCCUCUGUGGGGGCGGCAUUCCCACCGUGAAACAGGAUUACAGUCCUGCGUGACCUACGGGGGGGCGCAUGAAUACAUCACUAUUAUUGAGGAGGUAUUGAUUUUCGGUUGUUGUGUUCUUUAUACAUAAAAAACCCUCAAUAUUUAAAUUGUGUUUGUUUUGAUUUUCAAAAUCAAAGAUUUUUUUUUUUUUAGAGGAGGAAAAAAAAAACCAAUUACUUGGAUUAUAAUCCUAAUUUCCUAAUUGGGAUGCACCAACCUUCUGCAGAAAAAAAGAUGCAGAAAUCUGGAGGAUCGGCGCGGUUCUGUUUGUGUGCAGAGUGAAACUUUGGCCGGAUUUCAAGUUGGAAGAUCUACCUCAGUUCCAGGUACGCCAGGUUGCCUCGUCAAUCUAUACGACAAUCAUCAACGAGGCCUUCACUUUGAACCAAUAGCUAUACAGCCUGGUUUCUUAGCCAAUUACAAUAUUUUCAUUUCUGAAGGGCCAAACUCAUGACUGAUUACCUAGUUCAGGUGCGUACAGCCAAUUAGAACACGCCAGAGCCUUGGAGACUAGUAGUUAUAGUGGCUAGUAGCUGCAGUGGCUAGUAUUACUAGUGGCAUGUACCCUUUAGUUCCUAUUUGCUUAAACAGCUAGUCAUUUAGGUGGCUAGUACCUCUACAGGCUAGUACCAUAAGCGUCUGGGAGCUUUAGUGGCUAGUACCCGUAGUAGCUCUAGCAACUACUACCGUUAGUUGCUAGUACCUUUAGCAGCUUUAUUGGCUAGUAUCUUUAGUGGUCUGUACCAUUACCAGCUGUUGGCUUUUAGGGGCUGCUAUCUUUAGUAGCUAGUACCUCUAAAGGGCUAGUGUCAUUAGCAUAUAGUAACUAAAGUGCCUACUAGAUUUAGCAGCUAGCACCUUUAGUGGGUAAUACUUUUAGUGGCUAGUAGGUUUAGUGGUAAGUACCAUUUGCGGCUGGUAACUUGAGAAAGUAGUGCCAUUCACGGCUGGUAGAUUUAUUGGUUAGUACCAUUUGGGGCUGGUAAAUUUAUUGGUUAGUACCAUUCACGGCUGGUAGAUUUAUUGGUUAGUACCAUUCACGGCUGGUAGAUUUAUUGGUUAGUACCAUUUGGGGCUGGUAAAUUUAUUGGUUAGUACCAUUCACGGCUGGUAGAUUUAUUGGUUAGUACCAUUCACGGCUGGUAGAUUUAUUGGUUAGUACCAUUUGGGGCUGGUAAAUUUAUUGGUUAGUACCAUUCACGGCUGGUAGAUUUAUUGGUUAGUACCAUUUGGGGCUGGUAGAUUUAUUGGUUAGUACCAUUUGCGGCUGGUAGCUUUAGUGACUUGUAGGUUGUUGGUUAGUACUUUUCCCGUCUGAUAGUUUUAGCAGUUAGUAACAGUAGUCUUUUAGUCUUUGUCGUUUAACUAAACCUCAACUUUUGAGAAAAUCUCCCAAGAUUCACCUGAAGCACUUCAGACGUUUGGCAUUCACCAUGAAGUUUUCUCAAUAAAAUGACACAAUUUAGAAGAGAAUGACUUCAUUCAUCAAGCCUAUGGAGCAUUACGAUCUGAUAAGUAAAGGAAAAUUCAAAUUCAAACUUUGUGUUUGUCUGUAAACUUUCUAUUACUUUCAAUAAAACAAUAGACCACUGGUUUAUUUAAUCAGGGUUUUAAGAAAUGAGAACAUUUUUCGCUGCUGAAAGUCAUGAUCUUUCCUUUUUCUGAGUCUCCUUUGUGCUGUGACUUCCAAUGAAAGCCAGACAAUGGUAAUGGGUUCAAAGCAACGAGCUUCUGAUCCAAACUUCGGAAAGUUUUGAUUUGAUUUGACAACUUCUCCUUAAACAGAGCUUGAAUUGAUUGAAGUGGUCAAUGCUCUUUUUAAACAACACCAGGGCCAAUCCAAACACGCAGAGCGCAGACACAAAGAGCCGGCCCACAUACGGAAUAUUUGAUGUGUACAGUCGAAGACGUCUGAUCCGGUCUGCGCGCAGAAAAAGCGCCACCAAAACAAAUCCUGCGCGUUUACGACGCUUCCGGGCCAAAACGGUUUUGAUUGGGACGCUGAUUGAUCCCACAAGGAAACUUCUCACUCAGAAAAGAAAAAGAAGAAAAAGGAGACUUUAUCGCUCACCAAAAUGAAUAAUUGACUGCAUUUCUGCUGAAUAAUUAAUCAAGCAUUUGAAUAAUUGUUUGCGCUCUAAUCUUGACAGACAUUUGCAUAUCUGCAUGUUCUUACUGUCUGACUCCGUCUACGGGGUUACGUCCCAUCAGGACACAAAGGCGGGAUAAAAAAAUAAACAGAUAUCCACAGAUGUCCGUCGGUUCACGGACCUCACCUGCUUCUGUUGGCGACGUUCGUGAUUUGACACCCCCAGCGUGCCAGAUUCUCCUGAAUUCCCAGUGACCACCGAAGAAAAUCGGACUUCCAGAGAAGUUGUCUUUGAUUUUUCCCAGUGUGAGACAGGAAAUUCCCCGCGGUCAGUGAAUGGAGCAACUGAUGCAGCAGCUCCCAAUCAGAGCAUUUCCAUGUCAAAACGCUCUGGGAGCAUGGCGAGUCGGCGGCUCGUACCGAGAGGGUGACCAUAAACUCGGAAAAGUGUGUGCCAUGUGAUCCCUCACUUGAAGGAAACCAGAUCUUACUUUCGGUUUUUCUUGGUUUGAAUGAAGAGCAGACGCGUGUGAGUGGAGACAGAUGAGAAAACCACAAUUAAAAAUGUCCAAAUG